rnacentral:rRNA from 1 species
CCUACGGGUGGCAGCAGUGAGGAAUAUUGGUCAAUGGCCGUAAGACUGAACCAGCCAAGUCGCGUGAAGGAAGAAGGAUCUGUGGUUUGUAAACUUCUUUUAUCGGGGAAUAAAGGUAUCCACGUGUGGAUGUUUGCAUGUACCCUAUGAAUAAGCAUCGGCUAACUCCGUGCCAGCAGCCGCGGUAAUACGGAGGAUGCGAGCGUUAUCCGGAUUUAUUGGGUUUAAAGGGUGCGUAGGUUGUUUUUUAAGUCAGCGGUGAAAGUUUGGGGCUCAACCAUAAAAUUGCCGUUGAAACUGGAAGACUCGAGUGUGUUUGAGGUAUGCGGAAUGCGUGGUGUAGCGGUGAAAUGCAUAGAUAUCACGCAGAACUCCGAGUGCGAAGGCAGCUUACCAAGUCAUAACUGACACUGAAGCACGAAAGCGUGGGGAUCAAACAGGAUUAGAUACCCGGGUAGUC